AGUAGUUUCUUAUGAAAAGGAUUAAUUGAGAAAAAGAAAUCAUUUCCUGUCAGGAAGAGACUUCAUUUUGGAGCAACAGAGGGUCAGGUCGGCUGGUGAUACAGAAAUCAGAGUGAGAAGAGUGACAGAUGAAAACUUGCAGAAGAAAGUGAAUUUUCCAUAAACAGAUUUAUUUUAUCUCCCCGAUGGCUCAGCAGACCUCGAUGUCACUGGGAGUCUUUUAGAUGUGCUGCAGGACUCCCAUCAUCGCCGCAGGAUGACGGCUGAAAACAGAAAUACAACGUUGGAGGAAAAGAUUUUGAAUCUGGUGCAAAAAUAAGCAAAUAGAAAGGUUGUUCAGAGGAAAGUUCAGAAGUCGUAAGUAAAUGGUGAAAAUCAGAAGGACCAAGGUUUGCUCCCUGUGGUGUUUCUUCAAUAUCAACGCAAAGUUCUUUCCAAGACCAGCAUGACC